CCUACGGGAGGCAGCAGUGGGGAAUAUUGGGCAAUGGGCGCAAGCCUGACCCAGCAACGCCGCGUGAAGGAAGAAGGCUUUCUGGUUGUAAACUUCUUUUGUCAGGGACGAAACAAGUGACGGUUCCUGACGAAUCCGCGACUGCUAACUACGUGCCAGCCGCCGCGGUAAUACGGAGGUGGCAAGCGUUAGGCGGAUUUGUUGGGUGGAAGGGGCGAGUAGGCGGGAAUGCAAGUCAGAUGUGAAAGCUAUGGGCUCAACCCAUAGCCUGCAUUUGAAACUGUAUUGCUUGAGUGCGGGAGAGGCAAGUGGAAUUCCGGGUGUAGCGGUGAAAUGCGUAGAUAUAAGGAGGAACACCAGUGGCGAAGGCGGCUUGCUGGACAGUAACUGACGCUGAGGCGCGAAAGCGUGGGGAGCAAACAGGAUUAGAUACCCCAGUAGUC
rnacentral:rRNA from 1 species